UGUUUAUCCAAAUUGACAAUUGAUUUGCUGAACGUUUCAAAAAGUUGGUGGAGGUUUGCAAGGCUCAGGAAGAUUUGUUUUUCUGGACAAUUUCGCCCAAGGUCACCGGCAUGAAUGAAAAAGAAUGAAAGACUUGAAAACAUCCGGAGGAAAACGAAGGAACUGUUACACACACCGGCUGUUUUUUUUUUCGUAAGGAUACGUAACCUCGAACUUCAAAUCUUACUGAUACGGUGCCUUAGUUAUAUUGCUCCAUUUUCCAUGAAAAAUCGUCAGCAAUGAAAAAAAGUUUAAACAGCUAUCGUUUCUUGGCAAAUUAUGUGGUCAGAAGUUCAUGUGCAAUGUUUCGACAGGAUUUCCAUAGCUCCAGCUCAAUCGGUGCCGCUGGAUAGGUUGGGCAUGGAAACCUGUCUUCUCAAAGGAUUAGUG